rnacentral:lncRNA from 1 species
GUGGGUUCACCAGUAACUAACUCUCCACCAGGUAGUUUUAAGAUACUUCAAGUAUACUUUGGAAUUUCAGUCUAUUACAAGCUAAAUUGAAUGCAAUAUUCAUGCAGGUAGCUGGGCGCAAUUUAACAGUCCCAUUGAGCAUGGUCCAUUGCAAAGUAUGAGCAAAUCCCCUGUUUUCAGCACUUUGAGUCCAACAACCAGCAACCAUUUACCUGGGUUGGCUUCAAUUCUUCACACUCAAGGGUCAAACUCUGUGAAAGUUGCGCCUAUUGGCAAAGACCAAGGAAGGGGUAGUCUUGUGGAGCAUGCAUUUACAAACAUGAACUCAUCCCAUGGGGCUACAUUCCAACAGUCACAUUCAUUGCCCGAGUCAAAGUUGAACCAAUACCAUGGAAGUAUGUCAUCUUUUGGCGGUCCUUCAACAUCUAGUGGAUCUGUUGUGGAAACAUUAUCAGGUCCACAGUUUCUAUGGGGAAGUCCAAAUCCAUACCCAGAGCACAGUACUUCUUCUUCCUGGACAACGCCAUCCAUGGGCCAUCAUCCAUUUUCAUCAAAUGGGAAGGGCCAUGGCUUUUCGUACAUGGGUCGGCAUGGUUCUUUACUUGGCUCAUCCCAGAACCAUCAUCAUGUUGGUUCUGCUCCAUCUGGAGUUCCUUUGGAGAGGCACUUUGGAUUUUUCCCAGAGUCUCCGGAAACUUCGUUCAUGAGUUCUGUUGCAUUUGGAGGCAUGGGUUUGGGACACAAUGAUGGAAAUUUCAUGAUGAGUAUGCGCGGUCGUGCACCCAUAAAUACUGGCAUUCCCAUUCCCAGAAAUGUGUCUGAAAAUGGAUCUUCAAGUUACAGAAUGAUGUGCAAAUUAUAUUCAUUGUACAAUUAGCAGAUAAGGGAAACGCCACACAAGAGGCACCAUAAGUUUAUUGAGUUUUACGAUGUGAGAGCUGCAGAAGCAGCACUCAAGUCAUUGAAUAGGAGUGACAUAGCCGGUAAACGCAUAAAGCUUGAACCUAGCCGCCCUGGUGGGGCACGUCGGAAGUAAGCAUUUAUUGUGCUUUGCUUAUUACAGAUAAUAUAGCUCAAAUAGCACUCCCCUUAGUUUUGUCUGUCUUUCCCAAUGUUGCAAAUGCAUCUUUAUGUGAGUUAAUUUGUGAUUUCCAUAAUACGUUUUUUUUGUUUUAUUUAAUUUAGUUCUGGAAGAUCAAUUAUUUUUAUUGUUAAGCUAUUGUUCUUUUGCAAGCUCUGUGUGUGUGUGUCUCAAGCAGGUAGGUAUUUGAAUGCCUGUUUCAUUUCUUAAAAUUAUUCUUCUUUCCCUUGAAAUUUCUUGCAUUAUUCUUGUUGAAAUGUCUUUGCAAAUGAAUGUUUUUGGCUUACGUAUUCUACCUGUCAGCUUGAUGUUGCAACUCAAUCAAGAGCUUGAACAAGAUGAAUCUCGGAGUUUCCGGCCUGCAGUGGGUUCACCAGUAACUAACUCUCCACCAGGUAGUUUUAAGAUACUUCAAGUAUACUUUGGAAUUUCAGUCUAUUACAAGCUAAAUUGAAUGCAAUAUUCAUGCAGGUAGCUGGGCGCAAUUUAACAGUCCCAUUGAGCAUGGUCCAUUGCAAAGUAUGAGCAAAUCCCCUGUUUUCAGCACUUUGAGUCCAACAACCAGCAACCAUUUACCUGGGUUGGCUUCAAUUCUUCACACUCAAGGGUCAAACUCUGUGAAAGUUGCGCCUAUUGGCAAAGACCAAGGAAGGGGUAGUCUUGUGGAGCAUGCAUUUACAAACAUGAACUCAUCCCAUGGGGCUACAUUCCAACAGUCACAUUCAUUGCCCGAGUCAAAGUUGAACCAAUACCAUGGAAGUAUGUCAUCUUUUGGCGGUCCUUCAACAUCUAGUGGAUCUGUUGUGGAAACAUUAUCAGGUCCACAGUUUCUAUGGGGAAGU